CCAGUCAGCACACCCAGAAGCCAGGGGGCAUCUUAGCGAAGCACUGACUGAAGACACAGGAGUCGGGACUAGCGUGGCAGGAAGUCCUCUCCCACUGACCACAGGGAACGAAAGCCUGGACAUCACCAUUGUUAGGCACCUUCACUGCUGCACCCAGCUCGUGCAGCAAAUUGUUUUCUCAAGCAAAACCCCAUUUGUGGCAAGAAAUCUGUUAGAGAAGCUUUCUAGGCAAAUCCAAGUGAUGGAGAGACUCUCAGCCGUCAGCGAUGAGAACAUAGGAAGCAUGAGUUCUGUGGUUGAAGGUAAGCGCCUGCAAAUCACAGCCCUUCCAUGUCAGUGGCGACCUACUAGCCCACUCCUCUGCCUACCAGGAGAGCACAAAGGUGUUCUUGGGCCAGAGAAUAGAGCACACAGUGUCAUCAACACCACGCCUCAGCUUUUGGAGUCAAACCAGCAGACACACAGCUUUUUCUAGAGGGGCCUCGACCUCCAGAAACCAGAUGUCAGAGUGUAAACAAGCAGCAGCCACCUCGUAGACAGACUUCCACAGACUUUCUCUGCUGCUGUGGUUCCAUUUCAGGACAGAUGAUCAAAUUGUGUCAUGGAGCUCGUUAAGACAAAUCCCAUAGCAGCUUACUGUCAAAUGCAAGAUGCUCCCAACCUCUACUGGGAAAAGUGGAAGUAGCAGAACACAAGGAUCUUCAAGGUUAGCUCUGCUUAAGCCUAGAACUCCCUGUAGGUUCUCCCUGUGCAUUUCUGCCUCCUGCAUCUUGGCCUGCUAGGAGCAGGUGACCUUGGUAAGGAUCUGACAGGCAUGCAAAAGGGCAGGACAUUCAGGCUGUGAGUGCCUAGCAUCCCCUUCUCUCGCAGGCCCCUCCUCACCAUCACAACUGCACACAAGUGAAAUCUCGACUGUGUGCCGCGCGGCGCAGGGCCCUUGCAUCACUUCUGUCUGAGGGCCGCCCG